rnacentral:rRNA from 1 species
UGGGGAAUCUUGGACAAUGGGGGCAACCCUGAUCCAGCGACGCCGCGUGGGUGAAGAAGGCCUUAGGGUUGUAAAUCCCUUUCACCGGGGAGGAUGAUGACGUUACCCGGAGAAGAAGCACCGGCUAACUCCGUGCCAGCAGCCGCGGUAAGACGGAGGGUGCUAGCGUUGUUCGGAAUCACUGGGCGUAAAGGGCGCGUAGGCGGCUUGGUCAGUCAGAUGUGAAAGCCCGGGGCUCAACCCCGGAACGGCAUUUGAUACUCCCAAGCUAGAGAUCGAAAGAGGAGAGUGGAAUACCCAGUGUAGAGGUGAAAUUCGUAGAUAUUGGGAAGAACACCGGUGGCGAAGGCGGCGACCUGGUCCGGUACUGACGCUGAGGCGCGAAAGCGUGGGGAGCAAACAGGAUUAGAUACCCCUGUAG